CUGACACAGGGAGGUAGUGACAAGAAAUAACAAUACAGGGCAAUUGUCUUGUAAUUGGAAUGAUGGUGACCUAAACCCUCACCAGAGUAACAAUUGGAGGGCAAGUCUGGUGCCAGCAGCCGCGGUAAUUCCAGCUCCAAUAGCGUAUAUUAAACUUGUUGCAGUUAAAAAGCUCGUAGUUGAAUUUCUGCGUUAUCGAGUUAUUGACUCUUGUCUUUAAUCGAUUUCGCUUUUGGGAUUUAUCCCUUUUUACUUUGAGAAAAUUAGAGUGUUUCAAGCAGACUUUUGUCUUGAAUACUUCAGCAUGGAAUAAUAGAGUAGGACUUUGGUUCUAUUUUGUUGGUUUUUGAACCUUAGUAAUGGUUAAUAGGAACGGUUGGGGGCAUUCGUAUUUAACUGUCAGAGGUGAAAUUCUUAGAUUUGUUAAAGACGAACUACUGCGAAAGCAUUUGCCAAGGACGUUUCCAUUAAUCAAGAACGAAAGUUAGGGGAUCGAAGACGAUCAGAUACCGUCGUAGUCCUAACCAUAAACUAUGCCGACUAGGGAUUGGAGGUCGUCA
rnacentral:rRNA from 1 species